GACGAACCGUGCGAACGUUGUUCGGAAUCACUGGGCAUAAAGGGCGCGUAGGCGGCUUUUCAAGUCAGGGGUGAAAUCCGGCAGCUCAACUGUCGAAGUGCCCUUGAUACUGAUGAGCUCGAGGGAGGUAGGGGUCUGUGGAACUUCCGGUGGAGCGGUGAAAUGCGUUGAGAUCCACAGGAACUCCGGUGGCGAAGGCGGCCCGCUGGACCCCACCUGACGCUGAGGCGCGAAAGCCAGGGGAGCGAACGGG
rnacentral:rRNA from 1 species